rnacentral:lncRNA from 1 species
AAAUUUUGAUAACAAUAAAAAUUGAUUUAUUCCAGAUGCUUCUUGAUGAAUAAGGAAAAGAUACCACCAGGUGGGAAGUUACUGCUGUUGUCCCAGGCAGGAGGUUCUGACUGCGCUGAGGUGGGCAGUGUGGAGGUCAGCAGAGGAUGCUCUCAGGGAAGUGACUUUGGCAGAAGGAGCCUCAAGAACAAAGGCCACAGGACAGUGUUGGGUCCUGCUGUCCAGAGCUCACCAACUGGGAUUGAGGCUGAUGAAAAAUGAAGAACAAGGGAAGCACUAGCCCAUCUCGUGUCCUCCCCAUGCCUCUGCUUCCUGCCCCUGGAAGGAUUUAAGAUGCC